rnacentral:lncRNA from 1 species
AGGAUUUCAAUUGCAAAAUUAAUCUAACUUCAUAAAUUUUAAUCUCUGUACAAGAGGAGCUCCCUGUCAACCCUACUGCCUGCGCUGCACCAGUAACGAGAAUCCGCUUAGCACAUCAUGGUAGCAUGUUCAUUUGCAGCUGACACAGAAUCUGCUUGGCAUAUCAUGGUAGUGCGUCCAUUUGCGCUGCACCAGCAACACAGAAUCCGCUUGACACAUCAUGGUAACGUGUCCAGUUGUAGCUGGCCAUGGCAGGAGACAGGUAUGUGGACUGUCCUUGACAGAUUUAUUGAUAUGAAGAUUAUUGCAAAUAUUUAUUAUUCAAAGUUGCAAAUACAAUAGAUCCAAACCAGCUAGUCAAAUGGUGUACAGAUAUGCGAAGUUUGUGGCGCUGCAGAAUUUACACUUAUGGAAGCAGUUGUUGAAGGUCUGCAGGAAUUGCAUCAGAGAGCUACGUCCUUUUUAGAACACCGGCAGCAAGUCAAUAACCAUAUAGCAGAGAAGCAGCCAGAAUGGUGAUGACAAAGACCACCGGUACGGAUGAUAAAAUGUAACAUUGAUUCAUCGUUCACGGACAACUAUGUUGGUGUAGGAAUGUGUCUAAGCGAUGAAGUAGGCAAUUUCCUGCAAGAUCGAACAGAUCACUAUUCUCCUCGCCUCCUUGUUCAUGAAGAGCACUUGGUUUGAUUGAAGCAAUCAAGUGGGUUAUAAGCUGGAGAUUGAUCAUAUAUUUUUUGAGUCGGAUUCUAAAUUGACGGUUGACAAUUUUAAUAAACCAAAUCGGGAUAUGUCCGAACUAGGUUAUAUUAUUGAUGAUUCAUGAUUGUAUAUGUUUUAUUUAAGUCCCUUUUUUGUCAAAACUCUGGUGGUGGAGUAUGUUAGGAGACAAACUAAUGUAGUGACUUAUAAGCUAGCUAGAGUAGCUACAUACAGUCAAGUCUCAAAACUUUGAUUUUAUCCCAUACUAUAUCUUGCUUGAUAAUGAUAAAAGAAAUUACUUAA